rnacentral:rRNA from 1 species
AAAGGGUGCGUAGGCGGCUUUUUAAGUCAGGGGUGAAAGACGGUAGCUCAACUAUCGCAGUGCCCUUGAUACUGAAGAGCUUGAAUGUACUUGAGGUAGGCGGAAUGUGACAAGUAGCGGUGAAAUGCAUAGAUAUGUCACAGAACACCAAUUGCGAAGGCAGCUUACUAAAGUAUGAUUGACGCUGAGGCACGAAAGCGUGGGGAUCAAACAGGAUUAGAUACCCGAGU